rnacentral:lncRNA from 1 species
GCCUCAUUGGCUCAGAAAAUCAGGUUUCAGAGACAAUCCCAUGUGGGAUCUCAAAGGCAGUACAUCCGUCUUCAGCUGAAUGUGGUCCUUGCUCUCCCUUUGAGCCAUGGAGUAUGCAGCUGAAACCUCAGCUCAAGGGAACAUCCUCUCUUCCUUCCCUCCCACUACACAGGUGGAGGUGCCUGGACUUUCUGGGAAUGAUAUCUGCCCCCCUGGCUUCUUCUGUCCCAGAGGAACAGGAUUUCCACUUCCAUGCCCCCCUGGGUUCUACUCCUCUACACCUGGCCUGGACAGCAAGGACCAGUGCCAGCCAUGCCCUGUGGGGCACUACUGUAGCCAUCCUGGGCUGUCCAGCAUCCUAGAGGCCAGGCUCUGCCAUGCAGGGUACAUCUGCCUGGGAGGCAGCACUGUUCCCUCACCCUCUAAUGGGACCUAUGGAUACAGAUGUCCUCCUGGUUUCCAAUGUCCUCCAGGGGCCCACCAUGAGCUACCCUGCAAGCCCGGUACCUUCAGUUCAUUGCCUGGUUCUGGUUCCUGCCUGGCCUGCCCACAAGGCACUUAUUGUCCCUGGGCUGCCACUGUACAGCCCACUACCUGCCC